rnacentral:rRNA from 1 species
UACGGGGGGGGCAAGCGUUGUUCGGAAUUACUGGGCGUAAAGCGUGCGCAGGCGGUUCUAUAAGACAGAUGUGAAAUCCCCGGGCUCAACCUGGGAACUGCAUUUGUGACUGUAGAGCUGGAGUGCGGCAGAGGGGGAUGGAAUUCCGCGUGUAGCAGUGAAAUGCGUAGAUAUCGGGAGGAAUACCGAUGGCGAAGGCAGGUCUCUGGGCUAUAACUGACGCUCAUGCACGAAAGCGUGGGGAGCAAACAGG